UACAGAGGGUGCGAGCGUUAAUCGGAAUUACUGGGCGUAAAGGGUGCGCAGGUGGUUAUGUAAGUUAGAUGUGAAAUUUCCGGGCUUAACCUGGGAACUGCGUCUGAUACUGCAUGGCUCGAGUCCUGUAGAGGAAAGCGGAAUUUCCGGUGUAGCAGUGAAAUGCGUAGAUAUUGGGAGGAACACCAGUGGCGAAGGCGGCUCACUGGACCGGAACUGACGCUGAGGCGCGAAAGCGUGGGGAGCAAACAGG
rnacentral:rRNA from 1 species